GGUUUAUUAAAUUUUUAUUUAAUAUUUUUAAAUAUUCUCGAAUUUAAUAAGGGCUAUAAAGUUAAAUUGGUAUAUGUGGAAAAAUAUUAUUUAAUAAGUUUAUAGAAACAAAAAGUUAUCCUAUUUUAAAUAUAUCUAGUUUUUUAAGAAAUUAAUUUAAUUAAAUUUUUUAUACAAUAAAAUUUUAUUUUUUAAAAUUUUAUUUUUUAAAGUUUAUAAUGAAGGGGCUAAUCUUUUUAUUAAAUGUAAUAUAAUUAAAGGUUUAGAAAAUUUAUUUAAUAAAUAGAAUUAAAAGUUUUUAUUAAUAAAGAGUUAUAUCUAAUUUAUUUUUAUUCUAGAAUUUAUAUGAGGAUUUAUUUUUUUUAUUAAAAAGUAAGAUUUAAUUAGUUAUUUUUAUUUAAAAUGAUAAAAUUAGUAUAAUAAAAUUUUAAUAUGGAUUUUUUAUAUUUUAAAAAUUAAAGGUCAAUAAAAAGAAUUAGGCAAAUAAAUUUUCACCUGUUUAUUAAAAACAUGUCCUUUUGAUAGUUAUUUUAUUUAAGGUCUAGUCUGCUCCAUGAUUAUUAAUUAAAUAGCCGCAGUAUUUUGACUGUGCUAAGGUAGCAUAAUCAAUAGUUUAUUAAUUAUAAGCUUGAAUGAAAGAUUGGAUGAGAAAUUAACUGUUUUAGAUUGAAUUAAUUAGAAAUUUAUUUUUAAGUGAAAAAGCUUAAAUAUUUAUAAAAGACAAGAAGACCCUAUAGAGUUUUAUAAAAGCUUUAUUUUUUUUUAUUUAUGUGUUUAUAGUUUUAUGAUUAAAGUUAUAAUUGAUUGGGGUGAUUAAUAAAUUAAGUUAAUUUUAUUAUUUGAGUUUACAUUUUUAUAUGAAAAAUUUGAUCCUUAUGAGAAGAUUAAUAGGAAAAAUUACCUUAGGGAUAACAGCGUAAUUUUUUUUUAGAGUUCAGAUUAAAAAAAAAGUUUGCGACCUCGAUGUUGGAUUAAGAUUAAUUUAGUGGUGUAGAAGCUAUAAAAUUAGGUCUGUUCGACCUUUAAAAUCUUACAUGAUC
rnacentral:rRNA from 1 species